UGAGAUAAUAUAUUAUCACCAAGCCCUAAA
rnacentral:piRNA from 1 species